UGUGAUAAAAUGUCAUAGUUUCGUAUACGUCUGCCGGUAUGGGGCAGAUGUUUCUACCCCAAUCCAUACUUUGGGACUACGAAAUCAGACGUUUUUACU
rnacentral:ncRNA from 2 species